CCUACGGGGGGCAGCAGUGGGGAAUAUUGCGCAAUGGGCGAAAGCCUGACGCAGCGACGCCGCGUGAGGGAUGAAGGUCUUCGGAUCGUAAACCUCUGUCAGCAGGGAAGAACGGUCACGGUGCUAAGCAGCAGUGAAUGGACGGUACCGGCAAAGGAAGCACCGACUAACUCCGGGCCAGCAGCCGCGGUAAUACGGAGGGGGCGAGCGUUAAUCGGAAUUACUGGGCGGAAAGCGCUCGUAGGCGGUAGGUCAAGGCAAGGGUGACAUCCCCGCGCUCACCGUGGGAACUGCCUUUGAAACUUGCAAACUUGUGUGUGUGCUCGGUUAUUGGACUUCCAGGUGU
rnacentral:rRNA from 1 species